UACGAAGGGGGCUAGCGUUGCUCGGAAUCACUGGGCGUAAAGCGCACGUAGGCGGGUCGUUAAGUCAGGGGUGAAAUCCUGGAGCUCAACUCCAGAACUGCCCUUGAUACUGGCGAUCUCGAGUUCGGGAGAGGUGAGUGGAACUGCGAGUGUAGAGGUGAAAUUCGUAGAUAUUCGCAAGAACACCAGUGGCGAAGGCGGCUCACUGGCCCAUUACUGACGCUGAGGCACGAAAGCGUGGGGAGCAAACAGG
rnacentral:rRNA from 1 species